rnacentral:rRNA from 1 species
AGAGUUUGAUCCUGGCUCAGGACGAACGCUUGCGGCGUGCCUAAGAAAUGCAAGUCGAACGGGGUGCAGCAAUGCAUCCAGUGGCGAACGGUCGCGUAACACGUAAGCAACCUGCCUCAAAGUGGGGGAUAACAGUCCGAAAGGACUGCUAAUACCGCAUGUUGUUCCCGGACGGCAUCGUUUGGGAUCCAAAGGAGUAAUUCGCUUUGAGAUGGGCUUGCGGCCUAUCAGGUAGUUGGUGGGGUAACGGCCUACCAAGCCGACGACGGGUAGCUGGUCUGAGAGGACGAUCAGCCGGAUUGGGACUGAGAUACGGCCCAGACUCCUACGGGGGCAGCAAUUAGGAAUCUUGCGCAAUGGGGGCAACCCUGACGCAGCGACGCCGCGUGAAGGAUGAAGGAUUUCGGUCUGUAAACUUCUUUAGUGGGGGACGAAGAAUGUGACGGUACCCCAAGAAUAAGCCCCGGCUAACUACGUGCCAGCAGCCGCGGUAAUACGUAGGGGGCGAGCGUUGUCCGAAGUUACUGGGCGUAAAGCGCGCGUAGGCGGC